UGUAUGCAUUUUUUGUUACACUUUGUGACUCUUUCAUUAUUUUGUUGGUAAUCGACCAAAAUAAUUAGCUAUGAUUGCCUGUUUAGCACAUUGUCUGCCUAUAUACAGUAUUGAUUUCUACCUGGUGUAGAACUACCCACCAGGACAAAUUAAAUUAAUAUCCAGUCAAAUAACAAUGGCUAAUCUGCAUGAAAUAUGAGCCAACAAGUAAUAGCACUUUGCACUUGCACAACACCACAUACUCAGUAAAGGACACUGUUGUGAUACUGACUCAUUUGGUGGUAAACCCCCCCCCCCUCCCCUCCCCCAUUUAGCUGUAGUCAAAAUAUAGUUGAUGGUGAUUCACAACCCUGGAGAGCAUUAAAGAAGAUGAGGUGGAUGAAUUCAUCAGCGGUGCCUUCGUUCACACUAUAAAGAGAACUUGGACCUGUUGGAUGGAGGAAACAAAGUCAGCCAUAGAUGAUGACGAACAUCCUAACCCUUCAACUACAUUACAUGCGUUGCCAUGGCUUUCCCACCUUUCACCCCCUACUAGUAGGUCCAAGCCAUCCUUUGCAUUAUAUGCCAAGAGUGUGCAAAGCUGUCAUCAAGGCUACUUUGAAGAAUCUCAAAUAUAAAUCAUAUUUUGAUUUGCUUAACACUUUUUGGGUUA